GCGAGUCAAUGUAGCAAUACAUGGCAUACUGCUCAGUAACACGUGGAUAACCUGCCCUUGGGACCGGCAUAACCCCGGGAAACUGGGGAUAAUUCCGGAUAACGCAUAUAUGCUGGAAUGCUUUAUGCGUGAAAUGGAUUCGUCUGCCCAAGGAUGGGUCUGCGGCCUAUCAGGUAGUAGUGGGUGUAAUGUACCUACUAGCCUACAACGGGUACGGGUUGUGAGAGCAAGAGCCCGGAGAUGGAUUCUGAGACAUGAAUCCAGGCCCUACGGGGCGCAGCAGGCGCGAAAACUUUACAAUGCGGGAAACCGUGAUAAGGGGACACCGAGUGCCAGCAUCAUAUGCUGGCUGUCCAGGUGUGUAAAAUACACCUGUUAGCAAGGGCCGGGCAAGACCGGUGCCAGCCGCCGCGGUAACACCGGCGGCCCGAGUGGUGAUCGUGAUUAUUGGGUCUAAAGGGUCCGUAGCCGGUUUGGUCAGUCCUCCGGGAAAUCUGACAGCUCAACUGUUAGGCUUUCGGGGGAUACUGCCAGACUUGGAACCGGGAGAGGUAAGAGGUACUACAGGGGUAGGAGUGAAAUCUUGUAAUCCCUGUGGGACCACCAGUGGCGAAGGCGUCUUACCAGGACGGGUUCGACGGUGAGGGACGAAAGCUGGGGGCACGAACCGGAUUAGAUACCCGGGUAGUCCCAGCCGUAAACGAUGCUCGCUAGGUGUCAGGCAUGGCGCGACCGUGUC
rnacentral:rRNA from 1 species